UCGAGCCGCCGCGGUAACACCGGCGGCCCGAGUGGUGAUCGUGAUUAUUGGGUCUAAAGGGUCCGUAGCCGGUUUGGUCAGUCCUCCGGGAAAUCUGAUAGCUCAACUAUUAGGCUUUCGGGGGAUACUGCCAGACUUGGAACCGGGAGAGGUAAGAGGUACUACAGGGGUAGGAGUGAAAUCUUGUAAUCCCUGUGGGACCACCUGUGGCGAAGGCGUCUUACCAGAACGGGUUCGACGGUGAGGGACGAAGCUGGGGGCACGAACCGGAUUAGAUACCCGGGUAGUCCCAGCCGUAAACGAUGCUCGCUAGGUGUCAGGCAUGGCGCGACCGUGUCUGGUGCCGCAGGGAAGCCGUGAAGCGAGCCACCUGGGAAGUACGGCCGCAAGGCUGAAACUUAAAGGAAUUGGCGGGGGAGCACAACAACGGGUGGAAGCCUGCGGUUUAAUUGGACUCAGCGCCGGACAACUCACCGGGGGCGACAGCAAUAUGUAGGCCAAGCUGAAGACUUUGCCUGAAUCGCUGAGAGGUGGUGCAUGG
rnacentral:rRNA from 1 species